rnacentral:piRNA from 1 species
UGAAGAAACAAUGGGAGAUGGAAAGG